rnacentral:rRNA from 1 species
AGGGAAUCUUCCACAAUGGACGAAAGUCUGAUGGAGCAACGCCGCGUGAGUGAUGAAGGUUUUCGGAUCGUAAAACUCUGUUGUAAGGGAAGAACCAGUACGUCAGGCAAUGGACGUACCUUGACGGUACCUUAUUAGAAAGCCACGGCUAACUACGUGCCAGCAGCCGCGGUAAUACGUAGGUGGCAAGCGUUGUCCGGAAUUAUUGGGCGUAAAGCGCGCGCAGGUGGUUUUCCAAGUCAGGGGUGAAAGCCCGGGGCUCAACCCCGGAAUAGCCCUUGAAACUGGAAGACUAGAAUCUUGGAGAGGUCAGUGGAAUUCCGAGUGUAGAGGUGAAAUUCGUAGAUAUUCGGAAGAACACCAGUGGCGAAGGCGACUGACUGGACAAGUAUUGACGCUGAGGUGCGAAAGCGUGGGGAGCAAACA